rnacentral:rRNA from 1 species
UACGUAGGGUGCAAGCGUUAAUCGGAAUUACUGGGCGUAAAGCGUGCGCAGGCGGUUGUGCAAGACCGAUGUGAAAUCCCCGGGCUCAACCUGGGAACUGCAUUUGUGACUGCAAGGCUAGAGUACGGCAGAGGGGGAUGGAAUUCCGCGUGUAGCAGUGAAAUGCGUAGAUAUGCGGAGGAACACCAAUGGCGAAGGCAAUCCCCUGGGCCUGUACUGACGCUCAUGCACGAGAGCGUGGGGAGCAAACAGG